CAACUACUCCCUCUGUCCCAAAUUUCUUGUCUUAGAUUUGUCUAGAUACGGAUGUAUCUAAUACUAAAAUGUGACUUGAUACAUCCAUAUCUACACAAAUCUAAGACAAGAAUUUUGGGACGGAGGGAGUACUUU
rfam:Triticum aestivum genome assembly, contig: Triticum_aestivum_CS42_TGACv1_scaffold_578709_7BL